ensembl:lincRNA
CGGCUGUGUUUUUGUAACAGCGCGUGAUCGCUGUGCACGACUCACCCUUUCGGGUGCUGUGCUCUGAUCGCGACCUGCAAACAUUAUUGUAGUCGCUCCCGUUUGCCUGGUGUUUAAAACGAAGCACGACCGAAAACGCCGUUCGAUCCCGCUUGUUGAUUUGAGGUUUUAUAACCAUUUCACGUGACCGUUUCGAGCCGUCGUUUGAACGCUAACCCGACGAUACGAGCCUGUACCCAUCUUGCCUGCUUCUCUCCCUUCCUCGAUCCAGUGCGACCCCUCCUCCAAGCGACGCCUCCCUCCCCCAAGCCCCAGUGCGACGCAGAGCGGCGCAGCGGGAUGGAGGCCGAGAGCGCUCAAAGAAAGGAUGGCGGAAUGGAGGCGCGGCCUGGCGUUGCCGACAGCAAGCGGCCCGAGAGGGGUUUUUUGCGGGGGCGGGAGAGAGAAGGGGGAGGGUGUGGGCUUUGGCAGCAGGGACCGGCAUCGAGCCAGUACGCUGGCGGCGGAUCUGCUCGAGGAAGCGCCUCCGAGACUCCUCGCCGAGGCACUUCAUCCUCGGAGCUGCUGCGCGUCUUGUCGUCCUCCUCAUGCGCGCGCGUCGCGCCGUCCGUGCACGACCCGGCAGCAGAGCCGCGCAGCUUGCAUCGCCCGGGGAAACCCUUCGAAUGUUCAGUUCAGACUCAGUACGCUGACUCAGCUUGUGAGGAGCCUGAGGGUGGACGUUGCUUUGAUCCGCGUCGAGUGUGGACGCCUGUCCGAACCUGUCCCAACCUGUCUGCAGUAUAAGUGGGACGGCAUUUACUUUGCGGUCAUCUGUGCAGAGUCAUUCCACAUGUUAUUCCUUUCUGCCACUUCGUCCUCGUGUCAUUCACGGUACUUUUGAGACUCGUUGGUCGCGCAAAUAUGUGGUUCGUCCCCUCCUCGCGCCGUUUCGACGCCUUUUGCUUUUGUGACCCAGCACGCCGGUCGUCACGGCCUGGUGUCUGCGAACCGGGAUGGCCAUAUUUUGUUGCAAUAAAGAAUAGUCAUGCCUUACAAGUGCCUUUUGAUGUACGUUGUUUGUAAGUGUUUUUGAACGCACCACACAACACCCACUGUUGGAACGAGCGUCCUUGUAGUGUUAAGGGAAGCAGGGAAGCGGACACGGCAUCGAGGCGUUUGGUAGAAACGUCAUGUACCGUCGACGAGGCUCACCAUCUACUACUGUGAACGUCCUCAACCUUGCAGGGCCCUCUACGGUUUAAAUUACUCAAUAACUCGGUGCAGCCUCUGCUCACCUCGGGCCGUUAACGCGUAAGCGUCAGUGGAGGCAAAUGCGCAAUUCCCUUCGUCGUUUUGGGCGGCGUUUGAAAUGGUUUCUUCUGACGGCACAACAUCUGAAACCCAUAAUGAUGUCACCUUUCCAGCAAAAACAAUCGCCCGUCUGUCGUAUCGACUUCCAAGAUUAAAUGUUCAAACAUUCUUGCCAGGCCAGCAGAUAAGGACUCACGGAGGGGGUGGUGGAGGGCAUUGUGUCGUUUUGCAAUGGUUGUGCUUUCAGACUCAAGGAAAUGCCAUAAAAAAUGCGCAUUAGCUGCACGAACACGUGACCUCAGGACAUCUUUGUAAAUAUGAGACAAAAGCGUCGACUUAACCCCACUGGAGUGUGCAAAUGAAUCCGUUAAAUGCACGGGACGAGCUAAGCGGACGGUCGGUGCGAGUGCGCACACCUCACCUUCGGAAAGCUCGAACCUGUGCAGUCGUGUAAUGGAGUGUUCGUGCACAUUUCCGUCGUUAGAUGCGAUUCUCUUCGGAAGUAAAUAAUAUAUUAACACCAUGUGUACACGAAUAGAUGCAGCUAUAAAUACGCAGCUUGCCUGUUUGUCCGUACGCAAUUCGUUACUCGUCCGUACGAACACCCAUCCCUCUGCUUGAAACGAUCGACAGCAAAUAGACACUGGUUCUUGAAAACGUCGACACGAACUGGAACUUGACAGCACCGACUUGCACGAAAGAUGUUGCGUUCCCUUCGAGUGUCUUCCCUUGCUCGCUGGGUGUCGUUGCGUCUCCAACGGGCGCUUCCAAUAUCUUGCUUCGCAGCUCUUGUUCUUCGGAGCGAACUCGCACGAACGUCUAUAGGUCACUCCCUGUUCAUUGUUUCCACUUGGUACAAACAGCAUGUCCUGUGCUUACACGGACGGAUUGUAAGAAGUGUUGCAAUACGUGCGAUUACUUUAAAAAAACGCUCAUUUUAAGGCGACCCCGGUUGCGCACGAUAGAUUAUACAUGAAUGCGCAUCGUGUUUCAUGGAACUCUUCUCUUCUUUGCUGCUUAAGCUGUCGAAGAAGAGAGCGAAGGGAUGAAAAAGGAGAUAGACUUUAACAUCGCAAUUCAGGAAACUGUCUAUCAGAGGAAAAGAUGGUCCGUGUCCUCAUACAUCAAGGACCCAGGAGUGACCGGUAAGUCCGCAGCUUGGAAAGUCCUGAACGACUAUAUUGACAGAGCAAUGUCCCUUAGCUUUUCUACUUUUAUGUCACAUCACAGACUUAACACAACAGUCUUAUAAACAAUAAAUGAUAUUACAUAUAGUCUGACGACAUGGUGUGUGUGUGUGUGUGUGUGUGUGUGUGUGUGUGUGUGUGUGUGUGUGUGUGUGUGUGUAAGUAUAUGUACGCACACUCAGCUCUCAUCUGUCUAACUCGGGUUCGAAUCCCGACCCAGCUGUAAACUGUAAUCCCGGUGUUUUGCAGGCAGGGUGAGUCAUCAAAGUGUGUGUCGUCUCUCGGAUGGACAUUAAACUGGGCGCUCCAUCUGCCGGAAUUAUCUGUUAAUGUUAAAGAUCCCACGGUGUCCUUCACGAAGAGUCGGCGAGCUAUCGCCGGCACCACGACCAAAUUACAAAUUCAUGCCCUAACUACUGCUGCGAAGGCAACAGCAAACUACCCAGUAGAACUCUUGCCAAGAAAUUGCCUUGGCAGCACCAACGCUCUGCAACAGACUAUGAUACAUCAGAAUCAGACUACACACACACACACACACACGUUUGUUCACAUCACACUGACCGGACAAUGGGCAGAAAGUUUGAAUAAAGGAAACGCCUCCACAAAGAAUGCUUUCAACCACAUUCUUGGAACAAAAUAAAUGAAUAAUGGAAUAAAGUUUUUUACAUCUUAUACUACUCAUUGUUUGCUUCCAAUUACUUCAUUAAAUGGCUCGGUUUGGAAGAGUUCCCUUCUGAAUCCCUGGCUCGUAGCACAGAGAACCAGGUUUACAUCUUGUAUACCACAAUCGUUUGUCCAUCGUCUCCCAAUGUCCUUGUAAUACACGAUAACGUACACCGACGCCUCUGUCCCCCAUGUGACCGAUGUCCAACGUCUUCCACGAGCCAAAGAUGGUUUAAAAAAGAAAUGUAUUCAUACAAAUGAUACAAAGCGAGGUAUGUUUAUUUACCUUCCCCAGGUAGAUAUUUCCAAGGCUAUAAAAUGGUUCCUAUUGUUGUGCAAAAUCCAUGUUCUUGACUCAUCGUAUACACCGUUGUGAGGGUGGCCUCGACAGAGAGACAGAGAGAGGAGAGAGAGAGACAGACAGACAGACAGACAGAGAGAGAGAGAGAGA